rnacentral:rRNA from 1 species
GGACGGGUGAGUAACGCGUGGGUAACCUGCCCUGUACACACGGAUAACAUACCGAAAGGUAUACUAAUACGGGAUAACAUACGAAAGUCGCAUGGCUUUUGUAUCAAAGCUCCGGCGGUACAGGAUGGACCCGCGUCUGAUUAGCUAGUUGGUAAGGUAAUGGCUUACCAAGGCAACGAUCAGUAGCCGACCUGAGAGGGUGAUCGGCCACACUGGAACUGAGACACGGUCCAGACUCCUACGGGAGGCAGCAGUGGGGAAUAUUGCACAAUGGGCGAAAGCCUGAUGCAGCAACGCCGCGUGAGCGAUGAAGGCCUUCGGGUCGUAAAGCUCUGUCCUCAAGGAAGAUAAUGACGGUACUUGAGGAGGAAGCCCCGGCUAACUACGUGCCAGCAGCCGCGGUAAUACGUAGGGGGCUAGCGUUAUCCGGAAUUACUGGGCGUAAAGGGUGCGUAGGUGGUUUUUUAAGUCAGAAGUGAAAGGCUACGGCUCAACCGUAGUAAGCUUUUGAAACUAGAGAACUUGAGUGCAGGAGAGGAGAGUAGAAUUCCUAGUGUAGCGGUGAAAUGCGUAGAUAUUAGGAGGAAUACCAGUAGCGA